rnacentral:rRNA from 1 species
GACAAACGCUGGCGGCGUGCGUAAAACAUGCAAGUCGCACGGGAGCUUCGGCUCCAGUGGCAGACGGCUGAGUAACGCGUAGGGAUCUACCUGCUAGUGGGGAAUAACGGCCCGAAAGGGUCGCUAAUACCGCAUACGACCACCCUUUUGGGGUGAGGAAAGCCGCAAGGCGCUGGCAGAGGAACCUGCGUCCGAUUAGCUGGUUGGUGGGGUAACGGCCUACCAAGGCGACGAUCGGUAGCUGGUCUGAGAGGAUGACCAGCCAGACUGGGACUGG